GAUGAACGCUGGCGGCGUGCCUAAUACAUGCAAGUCGAGCGAACGGACGAGAAGCUUGCUUCUCUGAUGUUAGCGGCGGACGGGUGAGUAACACGUGGAUAACCUACCUAUAAGACUGGGAUAACUUCGGGAAACCGGAGCUAAUACCGGAUAAUAUUUUGAACCGCAUGGUUCAAACGUGAAAGGCGGUCUUGCUGUCACUUAUAGAUGGAUCCGCGCUGCAUUAGCUAGUUGGUAAGGUAACGGCUUACCAAGGCAACGAUGCAUAGCCGACCUGAGAGGGUGAUCGGCCACACUGGAACGGAGACACGGUCCAGACUCCUACGGGAGGCAGCAGUAGGGAAUCUUCCGCAAUGGGCGAAAGCCUGACGGAGCAACGCCGCGUGAGUGAUGAAGGUCUUCCGAUCGUAAAACUCUGUUAUUAGGGAAGAACAUAUGUGUAAGUAACUGUGCACAUCUUGACGGUACCUAAUCAGAAAGCCACGGCUAACUACGUG
rnacentral:rRNA from 1 species